GCUUGCUUCUUUGAUGACGACCGGCGCACGGGUGCGUAACGCGUAUAGAAUCUACCUUAUACUGAGGGAUAGCCUUUGGAAACGAAGAUUAAUACCUCAUAGUAUGUUUUUAUCGCAUGAUAGAUACAUUAAAGGUUACGGUAUAAGAUGACUAUGCGUUCUAUUAGCUAGAUGGUGUGGUAACGGCACACCAUGGCAACGAUAGAUAGGGGCCCUGAGAGGGGGAUCCCCCACACUGGUACUGAGACACGGACCAGACUCCUACGGGAGGCAGCAGUGAGGAAUAUUGGACAAUGGAGGCAACUCUGAUCCAGCCAUGCCGCGUGCAGGAAGACUGCCCUAUGGGUUGUAAACUGCUUUUAUACAGGAAGAAACCUUUUCACGUGUGAAAAGCUGACGGUACUGUAAGAAUAAGGAUCGGCUAACUCCGUGCCAGCAGCCGCGGUAAUACGGAGGAUCCAAGCGUUAUCCGGAAUCAUUGGGUUUAAAGGGUCCGUAGGUGGAUAAUUAAGUCAGGGGUGAAAGUCUGCAGCUCAACUGUAGAAUUGCCUUUGAUACUGGUUGUCUUGAAUUAUUGUGAAGUAGUUAGAAUAUGUAGUGUAGCGGUGAAAUGCAUAGAUAUUACAUAGAAUACCAAUUGCGAAGGCAGAUUACUAACAAUAUAUUGACACUGAUGGACGAAAGCGUGGGGAGCGAACAGGAUUAGAUACCCUGGUAGUCCACGCCGUAAACGAUGGUCACUAGCUGUUCGGAUUUAUCUGAGUGGCUAAGCGAAAGUGAUAAGUGACCCACCUGGGGAGUACGUUCGCAAGAAUGAAACUCAAAGGAAUUGACGGGGGCCCGCACAAGCGGUGGAGCAUGUGGUUUAAUUCGAUGAUACGCGAGGAACCUUACCAGGGCUUAAAUGUAAAUUGACAGGUUUAGAGAUAGACUUUUCUUCGGACAAUUUACAAGGUGCUGCAUGGUUGUCGUCAGCUCGUGCCGUGAGGUGUCAGGUUAAGUCCUAUAACGAGCGCAA
rnacentral:rRNA from 1 species